UAUGAACCUUGAACUAGUCGUUUACACUACUACAUAUAUGCUGGUAUAGGGUAGACGGUGGUACUAGAUGUCUCCGCAAUUAUAAUUGUAAUGCAAGGAAUUAGACACGUGAUAAAAAUGCCAAUACAUUUAUUGCGUAGGAAGACGUUAGCCAACUCGAAAAGUAAACAACAAAAUCUGGGCAACAAAAGUUUGUCGUAGACCAGCCUUUGCAAGAAGAAGUCUCUGUGUUCAGAAAGUACUUUAUGCGAUAUUUGUUAGCAUAUAUGGUCCGGUUCUUCCAUAGCAGUGCUCAAAGUUAAAACUGAAAGUUGAACAUUUUACAGGAAUCACCUGCUAAAGAAGCUUAGCUGAGGAUUCGAGAAAUGAUAGUACCACUAAGAGCGGCAUACCUGCGAUUGCAGCUGAGCAGGUCAGGAGAAGAGAGCAGGCAAUGAUUGCAACCCUGGCCGUCCUUGAUGAGCAGCAGGCCCGACAGAGGCACAGGAAGAGGACGGUGUAUGUGAAGCCCUUGCUGCUUAGACGGGUCACCCUGGAACACUACAACACCCUAUGCAGGAAUUGAUGCGGGAACCGCAUGGUAAGAUUACCUAAGAAUCGAGCCAUUUAUGUUUCGGGAGAUGGUGGACAGACUGACACCGAGAAUUUCUAAGUACAAAGACUGCCGUCCAGGCUUGUACCGUCACCGUAUCUUCUCCGCGCAGCCUCUGCAUGGAACAGUAUGGGCGUCGUACGAUUUCCGUGGAAAGCUUGCGGAGACUGCACGUCAACUGCACUGAAACUGCACGAUUUCCGUAUAAUCUCCGCGCAGCGUCCUUACGGAAUUCUCCCGGUCUUCCCCGAGAGCCUGUACAAAAAAUGGCACGAUAUAAUAUGAACACAUUCGCCGUAGCCCGUAGCCACCUACAAUGCCAAAAAAUGCAUGGAAGAUCGUAGACUAAUUUAUCACACGGCGCCGGGUUCAAAUGUGAAUUAGGCAAUACUAAUGUUAAUGCACAAUUUGUUAAUUUGAUAUUUACAUAAACUAUAUCAGCUAGUAUUUGUUAUUAUUUUCAAAUAUGAAAUUUGGGUCUAGUAUACCUUUGAAUUUCAAAAGUAAAUUCUUGCGUACAAAAUAUUGUACUGAUUCUCUAUCACUGAUGAAGAUAUUUUUUAAAACACAAAAGUCUAUCACACAUUUUAUAUAAACAGGUGUUUAUUGAUGUUAACUGAAUUGCAAUAAACUGAAUAACAAUAUUUACUUCGGUAAAAUCCAAUUCCUUUCGUUUUGAGCUGGAAUGAGAAGGUCAUUCAUCUCCUAUCACUUAUACAUUGAUCAAAUACCGAACAAUUUUUAAUUCAAAUCCACCUGGACGAGUCUCCAAGUAAAUUAUUCAAAGGGAUGAUUAGUGAAUGAUUUUAACUGUAACACAAGUAAAUGAUUCAAAUAUAUAUGCAAGGUGUACCUAAAAAGAUUGCACUUACGUUAAUUCAAACACAUAUGCGUUCAAAUCACGAAAUUAGCAUUUUCAUUAAAUAUAUCAGAGAACAAUGAAAUGAAGAGUGUCUGUAAACAUCAAGAGGUUAUAACUAUGCUGGUUUAUUUGCUCAUUGUCACAUCUUUUAUCGAAUCUUUUAUCUGGGGAAAUAUUAUACUUUUAUUAAAAACAGAAGCAUAAGAAAAGUUAAAAUAGAACCAGUCUGGUACCGAAAGCGCUAUUGCUUUCAUAAUUGUCUUCGCUGAAUUCUUCUUGUGAGGAAAGAGUUUGUUCAUACAAACAUUACCAUGAUGCAUAACAAUGUAAACAUUUUACGACAUAACGUAAUAAAGGCAAUAUGAACAAGGCAUAAAAUACCACUUAAAAAGUGCGUGCCAUUCUCUUUGAAAAUAAUCUGGAUUAUUCACUAGUCGAUAAAAUUCAAUUCACUGGUAAUAACUGUCGUUAGAUGAGUUUCCAGGAAACUGGAAAUGUUAUUUUACAUAUCGACGUCUGAAAUUUUAGGAGCAGCCAGACAAAGACGUUAAAUGACUAAAAAAACUAGCAAUCGAACCAGCUGACUGUAUAAACAGCUGCUUUGUGGUUUUAUUAUAUAGAGGAUAUUUGUUUGUUUUUUGUUUGUUUUAAUAAGUGUAAGAUUGAAAUUUCUGUCAUGGCUGAACACCAGAUACAAUGUUUUUAUGAGUGGCAUAGCCACGAGUGAAAACAUAAGAUGUGUGUAUGAUAUUUUGAUCUUACAUGUAAGACAAAUAAAUUUUCUUUUUAUUUCAUGUUUUGACUAAAUUUACCCAUUUUAUAGGUUCUUAACAGUGAAAAAUAUAUUUGAUAUUUUUCACUCUAAAAAUACCAAAUAUAUUUCACUCUAAUAUUUCGAUAAUUUCCGAAAAUCAUCUAACAAACCCUAUAAAUUUUCGAAUUACAGCACACCGCUGUCAUUUUCUCUGAAUGAUAUCUUCAAACCGAUUAAUUGUUCAAAAUUAAAUAAACUGGAAACUGCUAACAAUUUGUUUUUACCGUGAUGUUUCGCUGUUUAAGUAAGUAGCAUAAUCACCCGACUAGGAAGCACUUUGAGAGUUUUUUUCCUCUUGUCACUGGCGACAGCAGCUAACAGAGGAUCGUACGCCUAGCAGAGCACAUGACUUCC